rnacentral:rRNA from 1 species
ACGCUAGCUACAGGCUUAACACAUGCAAGUCGAGGGGAAACGGCAUUAAGUGCUUGCACUUUUUGGACGUCGACCGGCGCACGGGUGAGUAACGCGUAUCCAACCUUCCCAUGACUAAGGGAUAACCUGCCGAAAGGCAGACUAAUACCUUAUGGUCUUCACUGACGGCAUCAGAUGUGAAGUAAAGAUUUAUCGGUUAUGGAUGGGGAUGCGUCUGAUUAGCUUGUUGGCGGGGUAACGGCCCACCAAGGCAACGAUCAGUAGGGGUUCUGAGAGGAAGGUCCCCCACAUUGGAACUGAGACACGGUCCAAACUCCUACGGGAGGCAGCAGUGAGGAAUAUUGGUCAAUGGGCGAGAGCCUGAACCAGCCAAGUAGCGUGCAGGAUGACGGCCCUAUGGGUUGUAAACUGCUUUUGUAUGGGGAUAAAGUCAAUCACGUGUGAUUGUUUGCAGGUACCAUACGAAUAAGGACCGGCUAAUUCCGUGCCAGCAGCCGCGGUAAUACGGAAGGUCCGGGCGUUAUCCGGAUUUAUUGGGUUUAAAGGGAGCGUAGGCUGGAGAUUAAGUGUGUUGUGAAAUGUAGACGCUCAACGUCUGACUUGCAGCGCAUACUGGUUUCCUUGAGUACGCACAACGUUGGCGGAAUUCGUCGUGUAGCGGUGAAAUGCUUAGAUAUGACGAAGAACUCCGAUUGCGAAGGCAGCUGACGGGAGCGCAACUGACGCUGAAGCUCGAAGGUGCGGGUAUCGAACAGGAUUAGAUACCCUGGUAGUCCGCACAGUAAACGAUGGAUGCCCGCUGUUGGUACCUGGUAUCAGCGGCUAAGCGAAAGCAUUAAGCAUCCCACCUGGGGAGUACGCCGGCAACGGUGAAACUCAAAGGAAUUGACGGGGGCCCGCACAAGCGG